UGGCUCUCGCAUCGAUGAAGAACGCAGCGAAUUGCGAUAAGUAAUGUGAAUUGCAGAAUUCAGUGAAUCAUCGAAUCUUUGAACGCACCUUGCACCCCUUGGUAUUCCGAGGGGUACACCUGUUUGAGUGUCGUGAAUAACCCAUCGACCUUCGUGCUUGCGCGAAGUGUUCGGACUUGGGCGUUGCUCGUGGCCUCGGCCUCCGGCUCGCCUCAAAUUCAUUUGCGAUCGAGGAACCCCGACGCGUGUUGAUAUACGUCUACGCACGUUAGGGCGAUCCGUCCGCACAACCUAUUCAUUUUGACCUUUGACCUCAAAUCAGGUGGGACUACCCGCUGA
rnacentral:misc_RNA from 1 species